rnacentral:ncRNA from 1 species
GCGGGGAGCCGGAUACAUCCGGCUGAGAGGGAAGGUUACAACUUCCGACCCAUUGACCUGAUUUGGAUCAUGCCAACGUAGGGAUAGUCU